AUGGAGGCGCGUUUCAUUAUCAGCAUUGGGCUGUUGAUUCACCUAGGUGCCGCGUUGGGUGACUCGGUCCACUCCAAGGACCCCCAAGUGUCCGGAAUAAAAGGAGACUCUGUGACCCUCAGCUGCUCUUACACUACCAGCUAUACCGGUUCCCUCUCUCUCUACUGGUACCGCCAGUAUCCCAACCAAGCCCCGCAGUACAUUCUCCAGAAAGGCGCUAAGGGAAGCAGCUCUACCGGCUACGUGUAUCUCUUCUGGUACCGUCAGUUUCCCGGCCGAGCCCCGCAGUACAUUCUCUUCAGAGGAGUGAAGCAGGCCAGAGGUCAGAGCAAUACUGCAGAAUUCGCCCAGAAGAGGUUUUCUUCCCAGGCUGAUGACAGCUCCACAGUUCUGAACAUCACAGCCCUGGAGCUGACAGACACAGCGGUGUAUCUCUGCGCACUUCAGCGGGCACAGUGA